UACAGAGGGGGCAAGCGUUGUUCGGAAUUACUGGGCGUAAAGAGCUCGUAGGCGGUUUGUCGCGUCGAAUGUGAAAACCCGGGGCUCAACCCCGGGCCUGCAUUCGAUACGGGCAGACUAGAGUUCGGUAGGGGAGUCUGGAAUUCCUGGUGUAGCGGUGAAAUGCGCAGAUAUCAGGAGGAACACCGGUGGCGAAGGCGGGACUCUGGGCCGAUACUGACGCUGAGGAGCGAAAGCGUGGGGAGCGAACAGG
rnacentral:rRNA from 1 species